rnacentral:rRNA from 1 species
CCUACGGGGGACAGCAGUGAGGAAUAUUGGUCAAUGGGAGGAAUCCUGAACCAGCCAUGCCGCGUGCAGGACGACGGCUCUACGAGUUGUAAACUGCUUUUGUACCGGGGUAAAAUGCUCUACGAGUAGGGUUUUGAAAGUACGGUACGAAUAAGGAUCGGCUAACUCCGUGCCAGCAGCCGCGGUAAUACGGAGGAUCCGAGCGUUAUCCGGAUUCAUUGGGUUUAAAGGGUGCGUAGGUUGUUUUAUAAGUUAGCGGUGAAAUACCGAUGCUCAACAUCGGGGCUGCCGCUAAUACUGUAGGACUAGAGAUCGGAUGCAGCAGGCGGAAUGUGUAGUGUAGCGGUGAAAUGCAUAGAUAUCACGCAGAACUCCGAUUGCGAAGGCAGCAUACCGGCGCUCAACUGACGCUCAUGCACGAAAGUGUGGGUAUCGAACAGGAUUAGAUACCCCUGUAGUC